UGCCAUUAAAAAACACACUCACACACACACAUGUUUCUGCUAGGUAACAAUCACUAGACUCAAAACAAACCCAGAGGGGGGCCCGCUCUUACUCUGAGGCCAACAUGAACUUGCAACAGCACAUAUAUAUUAUAAUGGGCUGGGCCACUGCAGGUAUCCUCAAUCAACAUCAACAUACAUGAAACGAGACUAAGCCCAAACUAGUCACAAAGAUUAGCCCAUAAAGGGCCUUUUGUAACCAAGAACUGGGGAGCGGGCCAGGAUCUUGACCGAUAGCAUCCAUAGUCCAUCCUGGAAUAGCGAUCCUGAUACGGCACUGCCUAGCAAAGGUCGUCGAUGUUCCAUUAACUGACUGAAAUGUUGGAAUGAACGGCCAGGAUCUUUCUCGUCCACUCAACAGAACAGACAGAUGCCCGUAACCAACUAAGUUAGGUUGAAGUUGACACAGUAUAUAAAGGCUGGAAGGCAAGGGGUAGGUAAGGGUUCGCAACUGCUUCGGCAGUCAGCCGCCUUGAAGUUGAUGUUGGAUGGGAGGAAAUGGAGAGGGAGUAGGGUUUUCGGAAGGUUACUGGAUGGGUGAGUGGGGAAGAUAACUAAGCUGUGUUUGUUAUUUUCCCAACUCCACCCAUCCCAUAGGUUUCCGAUCAUUCCUCCCUCUCCUCAUCACCUCACCUCUGCUCCUCUCUCGUUACAAAUUGCCAUGAUAUGCACAUGCCCCAAGCAAAGCUCGCAAUACAGUUGAAUCCGGUUUUGAUUCAGCAAAACCCCUUAGCUUUAUCCCGCACGACCAAGUAGAUCAACCAUAUGCAAGCGUGGUUUUCAAGCCCAGGGCUCAUACCAUGCGCACCUUUUUCAUGGAAUUGAAGUAAUCAUGCCCCCUUUCAACAUGCAUGCCUUGCUUGUAAAUAACGCAAACAAACAAAUGUAAUGUGAUAAGGUUUCACUCUCUCCCAGCAUUUCCUCAAAUAGUUCAAUGGGUCGACUCGCAUGACCAUGUUGCUGGCAAGCUGCAAUAAUGGCUGUCCAAUUAACUACAUUUCGAUUCUCGAUCUCUUGAAAUAGUGACCAUGUCGCCGGGUUUGGUUAAUGUGACCUCAUUUAGAGUGCAAAUUAAGGAGGUUGAUGAAGAACUGGAGUGGAAGUGAAGUUGUUGACCAAGAUUUGGUUGUGUAUUUGUUCAAAGAUUCUGCUUUUUUUUGUUUUGUUUUUGUUUUGUUCUAAUUGAAGACUAUUUUUAUGGAGUGGAGUGAAAAUCCGAAUUAGAUGCAUGUCUCCUAUUCGAUUAUUAUCCACGCAAAAACAUCUCUCCCUCGAUUGCAAAAUAAUGCAAGGGGUCAUGUAGCUCAUGUCUGUGGGUUUAAUGACAACUUUUAGGCCCUUAAGUAGUA